rnacentral:rRNA from 1 species
CCUACGGGUGGCAGCAGUGAGGAAUAUUGGUCAAUGGACGGAAGUCUGAACCAGCCAUGCCGCGUGCGGGAAGAAGGCUCUAUGAGUUGUAAACUGCUUUUGUACAGGGGUAAAACUGAAUACGUGUGUUCAGCUGAAAGUACUGUACGAAUAAGGAUCGGCUAACUCCGUGCCAGCAGCAGCGGUAAUACGGAGGGUCCAAGCGUUAUCCGGAUUUAUUGGGUUUAAUGGGUGCGUAGGCGGAUUGAUAAGUUAGAGGUGAAAUGUCCGAGGUUAACUCGGGAACGGAGUGUAAUACGGUGGAUCUAGAGAGUAGAUGAGGGAGGCGGAAUGUAUGGUGUAGCGGUGAAAGGCUUAGAGAUCAUACAGAACACCGAUGGCGAAGGCAGCUUACCAAUCUAUAUCUGACGUUGAGGCACGAAAGCGUGGGGAGCAAACAGGAUUAGAUACCCCAGUAGUC